UUUUUCUCCCUCUCCCUCUCUCCUUGGUUCGACGUUUUGUGCCUCCACUUUCGUGCCGUUUCCGAUCUUUGUUUUUUUUUUUUUUUUUUAUUUUUGGAGAAAUCGAGUCGCGCCAAAGUCGAGAUUGAUCGAUUUGAACAAUUCUUGAUUUUAAAAUAUAUAAUUAGGAAAUUUUUGGGAAACGAUCGACUUGGACGAAGCGUCGUUUUCUCGAAAUGUUUUUAUUUCGAUUUGUUUUUUUUUUAAUUAGAAUAAAAGUUGAAUCGAUUUCAUCUCGUGAAAAAUUAAUUUUGGGAUAAAAUAUCAUUAUAAAUCUUCGAAAAUCGAAUGAUUGCUCUCGUGAUAAAUUGCUUUUCCUUCGAUUUUCGAUCUGUUUGAAACCACGUAGAAGUUGAAUCGGCCGAUUUCAUCUCGUGAAAAGUUUUUAAUUUAGGGAUAAAAUAUGUGAUUCGAAAAUUCGUUCUUACUUUCGAUUCGCAUUUUUGAAGCUUGAUUUUAAAAGUUCUUGAUUUUAGAGCGAAAUAUAUCGUAAUUAGUUCUUGGGAACCAAAUGACCUCGAUGAAUGCGGUGUCGAAAAGUGUGCGAUCAAAGAAACUGCUUAAUUUUUAAGUUCCAAGAUAAUUUAAAGAUUCAGCGUGGUAACGAAUGCUUCAACUGUUGCAGGUAUUCCAGCUUCUCUAACAACGAGUUUUAACGUCGAUGAAUCUUAAUGUAUAAAACAUGAAAAUAAUUAGAAUACACGAAACGAAGAUUGAUGAAAUCAAUGAAGGAGCAUGAUGAACGUAUCUCUACGAUAUUCGACAAACGGAAGAUACUCUUCGUGCGUUCAUUAAUCCCACAAAUAAUCAUCACAUUUCACUUGCAUCGUGCCAAUUACCACAUUCGUCAAAGAAUAUAAAUUCUUGAAAUGCUCAAAGAACAAUUUCUAACAAUUUCUACCACACUGUCAUCCUCAUUUCAGAAGCAAUGUAUCGUCUCACGAGGAAUAUUCUCCAAUGAAACUCCAACAAAAGGGCAUCGAGAGCGAAACGAAUAGAAGAAUAUACUCGGAAGAAUUCUGGACACUGUCCACCACCAGGUGUCCGUCACAUCGGAGGCAAGGAUAAUCCGCGUUGCGAGCGAAAAUCCGGCCGGAAUCGCGAAGGCGAGGGCGGCAAGAGCGAAGUGGUCGCGAGGCCCAUUUCAAAACUGGCGCCGUUUUCGAGGUGGCCGGCAGCCAUUAGGUUGCCCCGUGACAUUCGGAGGGAGAGGAUGAUGGUUCCAUCGAGUAGGUAGUGCCUAGACGGGGCUCCACCCAGCACUUAGUUCACGUCGUGAUUGUGGCCCGGGGCACGGCCGUUUCCAGGGUACAGUCACGCCCCUGCCGUGCCGGCACUGUACUCCGAUUCGCUGGCCCAUAUCUCAUCUGGUCCAUCGCAUUAGCCUAAUCUGCCAACUACGAGAGAAUAGAGGGACCUCUUGCCGUGCGAGAGAGUCGGUCGAAGAGUGUUGCAGGGCUGAGAGGGAGAGGGAGAGAGAGAGAGAGGUAGGCCAGGGAGAAAAAAAGGAACGGAAAAACAAGAAAAACGCGGCCAUCGAUGCGUGUGCGGCCACCAUCCGCGACGCGGGAUCGCUUGGUGAGGUGCUGCCAUCUUCGCGGCCGAACCGCGAACGCGACCGAUCGAUUUUUUCACCGAGUUCCUCCGGCUUCCUUCGCUCCUCGUUUCGAUAUUUCAUUACCUUUGCCAGAAUGUAGACACGUAGCACUGUUUUUUUUCCUUUUUUUGGUGAUUCGAUGAUCGGAGGAUUCGUCGAUCGAGAUGCCAUCUUUGAAUCGGUGGUGUUGGAAGCGCUGGCGGACACGUUGGACUCGAUGAGCUUAGAAACACGGGUUCGGUGCGGUCGAGCGGCCAGUUUGCGUCUCACGACGGACGAGGAAGCAGCUUGUCGUCGCAGUUCGACUUUCCACCCUGUCCCGGGGCAUUGUCGGCCAAGUCGAUGUUAAGAAAACUGUUAAGAAAACGAUACGUUUUUUCUAUUGGACAAAGUUACAAGCAUGGAUUGGACUUACAAGGGAAGAUAGAAGAAAGUCGAAGGCUUACAUGGGGGGCUUCCGCGCGAAAUCAAGAUCUUGGUUUUAAGCCAACUUUGCUAAGUAUUUAUCGAAUGGAAGGGGAAGAUGCACGAGGAAUAGAAGAUUGAGAGACGCUGUUGUUGUCGAACGAACGAUUCUCGUUGUUGGAAGAGGAUCUGCGACCGCCUACCUGGAUCAUCGAUACCGAUUUUUCAUCCAAGGAUACCUUAUAUUCGCCACGCAUUCGAGACUCGGUGAAACAUAGGGACAUUUGGACGGACACGAAAAUACACUCUUAUCGAUUCCGCGAAACUCUGAACGAUUCCUUGCUUACUCCGAGCCGCGUCGAUAAUUAAUUACGAGGAUUGAGAUUGCACGGAUUCUUUAACGAAGGCAGAUUUGAAGGAAAAGUUGCAUCGAGCGUUAUCGAUUUCCUUCGAAGAAUCUCGAUCUCGAAAUUCAAAUAAUAAUUCGAAAAAAAUUAUCAUUCCUGUAUAGAAGAAGAAUUCUUCAAUUUCCUCUCUAUUCUUUGUAAUUCGAAAUAAUAAUUCCUCUCUUGCCUAAAUAAUUUCACUUCGAUUACACUUGGACAAUCUUAUAAGAAAAUUCUCGAAAUCUCUUUCAAUUCAGGAAUGAUGACAAAAAGGAGAGAUCAAAGAAUUAAAAAAAACUGUCUCAGCCGAUUUAUCCGAUCGCGCUUUUAAUCGUUCGAUCCCGCUUGUAGGCCGGUCGAAAAUAGUUGAGCGGAAGCAACAAAUAAUCGGCCGAGGUGUGGACGCAAACCGCGCGUAACGCGGGUUUCGGUCGCGCGAGGGAAGACGUAAAAGGACGUGCAAAGUGGAUCGAAAGGAGGAGGCGAAAUCGCAGAGGGAGAGAGAGAGAGAGAGAAAAAGAGAGCGAGUAAAAUAGAGGGAGUUGGAAUGGACGCGCCCCAUAUAAUCUCCGCGAUGCGAGCCUUCUCCUCGCUUCGGAGAUCAUCCCUGAACUGCGUCGAAACAGUCAUCUAAUUAUAUAUACUUUGUUCUACCUUCAGUAUUAACAUUUUGUGCCAUCGCGAUACGGUUGUUCCUCCAAACAAUCGCUUGAAUCGUGAAAUCGUUCGUUUCCGAUAGCUUCGAAUUGGCUGGUCAAUUAGAGCGGAAUGUAUAUUCGUAUAAAAAGCACGUAUGAAAAGACAGGCAUAGAUUGAUUGAAUGAUUUUUUUUGGAAAAGGAUAAUAGUAUAAUUCAGCGGUAAAAAAAAAAAAGAAGGAAAUUAUGAUUAAAGAAAAUUUUAUUUUCGUUAAUUGGAAAAUUUAAUCGUAUCGAGAUCGAAAGGAUUGUUUAAUUAAUCGAAGGGGAAACGAGGUGGAUUUGUAACGACUACGCCUAUGGUGAUGCUAGGUUGGUACACUUGUAUACACGUUAUAUAUGCGCAGUGCCGAAUUCGCAAAGCACAAUCCGUAUGUCGGACAUCGGCACGAUUUAUCGCGUUGACACGUGUCUCUUACCAAGAUGCGUAUCGCCCUCUGUGCACGGCCUCUCUUUUAACCACGAUUAAAAUACAUUUUCGAGGAUAGAACGACCGAAUUUCCGCGGACCACGUCCCCUUCCUACGGUGAAACGUUUAACUCUUUCGCCGUAAUUUAUAACCGGCCGUGUGAUCAGACCGCACCGAGGGCUUUAUUAAACGCGAAAUAAGGGGAACCGUUGAAUCUAGGUUUCACUGUAGAAGAAGGAUAAGCUUAAUCAUGGAAGAAAUGAAAAUAUUUUGUCGACGGAAAAGUGCGAGAAGUUUGGGAUCAUUCGUUGGUUUUUAUCAAAAGUGAGCUCGAUCAACUGCAUCUUUGCUGGCCCAAUUUUUUUCCUUUACCGAAUCGAAGAAGAAAAAGGAAAGAAAAGGGAACAAGGGGCAAAGAGGGCACGCAAGCUGGGAACGGGAUCGCGCGAAGACGAGAGAAAGCUCUUGAAGGCACGCCAGGAUGGAAAAGAGCGAUUUUCGCUGCGACUAUUGAUAGAGAUAAUCUUGAGAGAGAGGAUAUGACGUGUAGUUUUCUCUAGAGAGAGAGAGAGAGUUUGCGUAAUGAAUUCAGUGAGGGGGAAAAUUUACUUAGUCCAAGUUACGUCGGGCAGCAACGGCUCGUGCUCGCUCGUGGUCGAGCGAGCCACGGGAACAGUAAUUAAUGAGCAGUUUGGCGGUCGGCCGGACAGCUGUCCCGUUUUUUUUCCCCUCCCGCUCCGACGGAGUCGCGGCACCGAGGAGAAACGCGGAAACCUCGAUGCGGACCCAGAAGACGCGCCUCCGUACGGAAGGAGCAAGAUGGAUUGCCUGACACCACCGGACAAGAUCAAUUGAAUUUCUAUUUGGACGUAACCGAGAUCCGUUUUCCUCUCCCCCCACUCCUCACCCCCCAAAGCGACAGCCAAACUUUAAUUCUUCUUCCAUCCACGAACGUCACUGUAAUUGUAGUAUAACCUCGAUUCUUUUUUUCUUUUUUUUAUUCCGUGAUUCAUUCGGGCGAUAAUGAUCGCUUGUUGACAGGUUGAAUCUUUUUCUUUUUUUUUAUUUUUUAUUUUUGAUUAUUCCAAACAGAGCUAAACAGAGGAAAGAAAAAAAUCAAGAUCUCCGUAACUUCUUAUUUUCGAAUUAUUCUUUUGAAUCGGCUUUACAUUCACAUGUUUUGCAUGGACACGAGUGCACGCAACACUUGUUACUCGUAUCAUCAAUCAUUGAUCAUUGCCUCCAUACAUCUCCUCGAAUGAAAUCUAACCACUUCAAACCAAUCUACCUUCGACCCCUCCAGUUUCUCGUGGACAAUUUCUGCGAAAUAAUAAUAAAAUUAUAUCGGCGGUGAUAGUCGAGUGAUAAUAAAUGGGUUUGAAAA